rnacentral:lncRNA from 1 species
UACAUAUGAAAAGAUGAGCAGUUAGAAAUAAGACCUGCCAUCCUUCAGAGCCCAAUGAUUAAUGAAGGAUGUCACAUGUAUCAUCAGGAAACAAAGGAG